CUGAGAGGCUGAGGGAUCCCCAGCGCCAAGGGAGUCCGGCGCUGGAGAAAGGUAAGUGCUGAAGACACACACACACUUACAGACGCAUACACACUAGCUAACAGACACACACAUUUACUGACAGAGACACACUCAGCGACAGACAUACAUACUCACUUACAAAACAUACACUCUCAUUGACAAACACACACUCACUAACAGACAUCAAACAGAC